rnacentral:misc_RNA from 1 species
AAGACUAUAGACCUGCGGAGUACCUGCGGAGGGAUCAUUACAUGGCGGAGAAGGUGGGCAACCUGGCCAACAUCCAGGUUGUGAUGCCUUCACGCUCUUCCACCCUUGUCUAUUUGCACCUUCUGUCGUUCCCUCGGCGGGUUUCGACCCGCCGGCGGCAACAUUGAAAAACCCUUUUUGCAGUUAGCAUUCAAUUCUUCUGAUCAAAUAUUAAAUCAUUACAACUUUUAGCAAUGGAUC